UGCAGUCGAGCGGAUGAGAGGAGCUUGCUCCUCGAUUCAGCGGCGGACGGGUGAGUAAUGCCUAGGAAUCUGCCUAGUAGUGGGGGACAACGUUUCGAAAGGAACGCUAAUACCGCAUACGUCCUACGGGAGAAAGUGGGGGAUCUUCGGACCUCACGCUAUUAGAUGAGCCUAGGUCGGAUUAGCUAGUUGGUAGGGUAAAGGCCUACCAAGGCGACGAUCCGUAACUGGUCUGAGAGGAUGAUCAGUCACACUGGAACUGAGACACGGUCCAGACUCCUACGGGAGGCAGCAGUGGGGAAUAUUGGACAAUGGGCGAAAGCCUGAUCCAGCCAUGCCGCGUGUGUGAAGAAGGCCCUCGGGUCGUAAAGCACUUUAAGUUGGGAGGAAGGGCUUACAGCGAAUACCUGUGAGUUUUGACGUUACCGACAGAAUAAGCACCGGCUAACUUCGUGCCAGCAGCCGCGGUA
rnacentral:rRNA from 1 species